GUUUUUCUUACACUGUUUUCUAUGCUUUACAGCUCAUCUGGCAAAAUGGAGGGAGCUACCCCUUCAGUUUUAUGUAGUCUCUUUGUUGUCAUGUUGAUCCUACUUCUACCAGCUACAUCAGUGGCUGAACCAAGAUCCCAGAUAAUCCAGCUGAUACGUGGCAACAGAUUGACAGCUUCCGUCCCAAAUUUUGUUGGUACAAUGGAAACGUUGAGUGAACAAGUGAGAGCUAGAGGAUAUGGAGUAGCAGUUACUGGCACUAGACCCGGUGCUACCUAUGGAAUUAGCCAAUGCUAUGGUGAUCUAUCAUUACUCGACUGUGUCUUAUGCUUCUCUGAAGCUCGAACGGUUCUGCCCCAGUGCUUCCCUUAUAACGGGAGAAUUUAUCUUGAUGGCUGCUUUAUGCGAGUGGAGAAUUACAUGUUCUAUGACCAGUAUUUAGGUCCAGAGGACAUGCAUGUAUGUGGAAACAGGACGACCAAGGGUACAUUGUUCCAACAGAACGCUAGGCAAGCCAUUCAGCAAGCAGUUGUAAAUGCACCGACUAAUAAUGGUACUGCACGUGCUCAAGUGUCAGUGCCUGGUCCUUCCAAUGAGACAGCUUAUGUUCUCGCCGAUUGUUGGAAGACGCUGAGCGCAAAUUCCUGUGCAGCGUGUUUGCAAAAUGCAUCUGCAUCCAUGUUGGGAUGCUUACCUUGGUCAGAAGGUAGAGCCCUUUACACUGGAUGCUUCAUGAGGUAUUCUGAUACAAAUUUUCUCAAUGCUAUUUCUGCCAGUGGAGGCUCAUCAUCAACGGGUAAUUUUAACUCUUUUUUCGUCCUGGUUUGCCUGUUAUUUACCGACUGAACUGUAAUUUUGCUGAUAAAUGGUCUUUUUUUUUUACGUUCAAAUCACCAUAUUGCAGGAAAAGUUGUAGUCAUUGUCAUUGUUGUUGUUAGUUCCGUUGUCGUUUCGGGAGCAGCUGCUUUUGUUGGUUUUAGUGUCUGGAAGAACAAACAAAUCCAGAAGAAGAGAAAAGGUAAAUACUUUUAUGCGAAAAUUUAGUUAUAAAAGUCAUUAGGAUAGUUAAAUGAUGUACAUAUAUUGUAUCUGUAUUCUAAAACUUAGAAUUAAAAAAUUGAACUUUUUAGGUGCAAAUGAUGUUAAGAAAUUAGUGAAGAUCCUUGAUCAAAACAACUUGAACUUCAAGUAUUCGACACUUGACAAAGCCACGGGUUCAUUUGAUGAGGCCAACAAGCUCGGACAGGGUGGAUUUGGCACGGUUUAUAAGGUAUGUAAUGGUUGAAUGUAGUGUGAUUAUGUUAACAUCAAUGCAAGAAGUGUUGGCAAUUAGAUAGAGUCUGAGUCACAUUUUGUUGCAGGGUGUUUUGGCAGACGGGAGAGAGAUCGCUGUCAAAAGGCUGUUCUUCAACAACAAACACACAGCUGCAGAUUUUUAUAACGAGGUUAACAUAAUCAGUAGCGUCCAGCACAAAAAUUUGACAAGGUUAUUGGGGUGCAGCUGCUCAGGAACGGAAAACCUUCUUGUAUACGAGUUACUCCCUAACCAGAGUCUUGAUCGCUACAUAUUUGGUAAGUAACUGGACUUUAACUACGUGUCCGUCCCAAACAAGUUGGGGUUUAGCUAAACAAACCCUCACUAUUCUAUUUAAGCUAAACUCAUGUAUAUCAUUGCACCAACUAAAAAAAAAAGUACAAAUAAGUUAAACAUAGGUAACCGACUUUGCAUUAAGCUAAGACUAAGUGUUGUGUUUUCACAUAACCAGCACAUGACUUUGUCAUGUAUAUUGAUUCUAACCUUAAAAUUUGACAGACCCUAUUAAAGGUAAAACUCUAAAUUGGAAGAAAAGAUUUGAGAUAAUUAUAGGGACAGCAGAAGGAUUGGUAUACCUUCACGAGAACACAGAGACACGAAUAAUUCACAGAGACAUAAAAGCAAGCAACAUCCUGUUGGACUUGAGGCUCCGUGCAAAGAUUGCUGAUUUUGGGUUGGCAAGGUCAUUCCAAGAAGACAAGAGUCACAUAAGCACUGCCAUUGCUGGCACAUUGUUAGUAUUUCUUCGUCUCGUCUUCUACUUUUGUCGCGUAAAAGUAUAUGAAAACUAAUAUGGUACAAUAUGUGCAGAGGAUAUAUGGCUCCAGAAUACUUAGCACGCGGUCAGCUAACAGAAAAAGCAGACGUUUACAGCUUUGGAGUUCUUCUACUAGAGAUUGUUACUGGAAGACAAAAUAACAAGAGAAAAAAUGACGAAGAUACAGUUAGCUUAGUUUCCAAUGUAAUUUCUGAUCAAUCACUUCUCUGAAGAACCAAAAUUUCAAUCUUGGAGAACAUAUUUGUCCAUUGAUCUUAACUUUAUUGAAUGAAUUCAACAGGUGUGGGAGCACUUUCAACGCGGUAUAGUGGAGGAACUGUUCGAUCCGAAUCUCAUGUUGCAUAACUACCAUACAAUCAAUGUGAAAAAUGAGGUUGCGAGAGUGUUACAUGUGGGACUUUUGUGCACUCAAGAGAUUCCAUCAUUACGGCCAUCCAUGUCUAAGGCAUUACAAAUGUUCGUGAAGAAAGACGAAGAGUUGCCUCCUCCUACUAAUCCGCCAUUCGUGGAUGAGAAAACCAUGGAACUUCACGACCCUUGGGAUAAGUACUUGCUUAAACAAGGCGAUUCUGCUUCGAUUGCCAAACUUAUCUCACAGGUUCUUUUUACCCCAGAUGAUGAUAUCUCUGUGCUCCUGAACUGAAAGUGAUGUAAAGAUUAUAGUUAUCUCAAGCAUAUCAUUUCGCCUCGUGUUCUUGAAGGAAACUUCAUCGUGAUCGAGCAGUUAGUUACAACAACGACAACUAUGUUUCUGUCCCAAACAAGUUGAGGUCGGUAAUAUGAAUUCUCAGUAUUCCACAACUCAUGAUCAAGCAGUUAGUUGUAAGUUCAAAACUUCAUAAUACAUUUUUCAAUUUUUUCAUGUAUUAUUUGUCAAUUAGGAAAAUAUUUUAUCUAGGAAAACAAGCUCCACAAGACGCAAGUGACAACCCAACUAUGCGUAAGUGCAAGGGCAGAGGUAGGUAGGGUCGAAGGUGUUCAUCUGAACCCCCUUCAAUAGAAAAUUAUUCUAUUUAUACAUGUUUUAAUUUUUAUUUUUUUUAUGUAUAUACAAUAACCUCUUCGAUUUCUUCACAGGGGCGGAGCUAGGUGGGGGUUCGUGGGUUCGGAAGAACCCAAUAGCUUUUCCGUAGAUCUUGUAUUUGUACCAAAAAAUUCAAUAAAUAUAUAUAUGUAUAUUAACUCGUGAACCCCUAACAAAACUGAUUGACAACUUAGUGGUAAGGAAGAGGCUGUGAAAAUGCUUUCCACACUAGAGUUGUGGGCUCAAAUCCACUAUCAACAAAAAGUUUAGAACCUCCCAAUUCCUAAUCCUAGCUCCGCCUCUGUAAUAAAUUCUUCAUGUAUUUACUUUUUUUAUAUUUUGAAUUCUUGGAUGAAAAUGCUAGCUCCGCCACUGCCUAAUAAGUGAGAUAUCCACAUUCCUAAUCACUUUAUCAAAACGUAUAUCCUUACAUGUUAAUUUCGUGUCAAAUCAAACAACGUCACACAAAUUAAAAGGAGAAGUAUCUUUUUUCUUCUCCCCUCUUUAUUAUUUUGGUAUGGGCAGUAAGUAAAGUAGUUAGGAAACCGGCCCCACAAAUAUCUAUUAAAGUCUUUCAAAGUAGUAUUCAAACAACAAUGUCUUUCCUCUUGUUGACUUCUCUCAACAAUUUUUUAACUUUCUCCGUAUUAAUUUGUUUGUUUAGUUUUGACUUGACAUUAAGGGUCCAGUUGGCCAUGAGAUAUAAAUUAUGAUCUGAAAUCAUUAAAUAGAGUUGGAGUUUUGUUUGGACAUGUGAUUUGGACUUUUUAUGUUGUUUAUUUUAUCAUAAACAUAAAAAUCCUAUAAGUUAUAAAACUAUUAAAAUUGUCUCAAUUCUUUAUUCAAUCUUACCAAAUAAGCAAAGUUUAUAAAAUUCCAUAAUACAUCACAAAGAUAUUUUUAAAAAUACAGUAUUUAUUGAUCAAACUUUAAUUCAAUUAAAAAAAUAAAAUUAAACAUAUAUAAGUUGUGGUGUACUAGGCUUAAAUAUAGUUCAGCCACAUAGUACAUUCAAUCUUCUCAGUUGAACUUGCAUUUCUCGUUCAUAUGACUGAUAAGACAAACCAACAUUGCUACUUUGAGCCAUUUAUGGUCAAUUUGGUUGGUAAAUUAAUUUGAUAAAAAAUAAUGAAUUUGGUGAAUAUAAAUGGUAAAGUAGAAACUGAUUUGAAGUAGUAAUAAAUUAUAUGUUAGUGAGAAUAAUCAUUAUAUGAGAUGUAUAUGAUUUAAAAAGUAAUGAUAUGAAUUAUAAAUUUUAUUUACAUAUGAAAUAAAUGGUUAGCAGUAUAAAUGUGAUGUUUUACAAAAUAUAAAUUUGUGAGUCAAUUUUUGUAUUUGAAAAAUCUCAAAUUUUGAUUUUUGGAAAAUUUUAGAUUUCAUCUCGAGAUGAAAUAAACAGGAAAUCAUAUGUCCAAACGCCUACCAAAUUUAUUAUUGUGAAUAUUAUGAACUUAGAUUAAAAAUAUAUAAAACAUACCAAAAUAUUGUUUAAUCUUGUGGCCUUAUAUAUAUCGUAUAGAAAAUUAGAAAUAAAGAGUUGACAGACUAAAAUAGAAAGUUAGACAAACAAAUUAAAAUUAAAACAUAAAAUUCAAAAUGAUAAAUACUUUUUCAUCCUAAACUAAAAGUUUCUUGUUCGAGUUUUAUUGGGUAUAAAAUUAUCCUUGUUAGAAAAUAUUUUAGCCCAAUAUAAAAAAUUUCAACACAAAUCAGAUUUAAUCGGCUUCAAUAUAGAUAUCGUACACCAGAUUGGGAAACCAAAAAUGAGUUAAUACUCCCUCUGUCCCAAUUUAUGUGACACAUUUCGAAUUUCGAGAUUCAAACAAGUCUAUCUUUGACCGUCAUUUUUUCAUUUAUCUUUUAAUUAUUUUGAAUUAUCAAUUAUUGAGACUUAUAGUACUUUUUAUGUAGUUUACAAAUAUAUAAAUUUUCAUUUUAAAAAAUUUGAAGAUUCCAUGAGCAAAUUCUCGAUCAAACUUAAACUGUUUGAUUUUCGAAAAGCGAAAUGUGUCACAUAAAUUGAGACAGGGACUUCUUCACAAAGCCACUUUGAUUCAUUUUCAUCAAUAAAACAAAUUUUAUUUCUUUAUUUGUUCCUUUCAUUUUCUUCUCUCUUCUCUCUGUUUCUACAACUUUGACAGCAACGGUUACUUUAUUUGUUCCUUUCAUUUUCUUCUCUUUUCUCUCUGUUUCUACUACUUUGACAGCAACUGUUUCUUUAUUUGUUCCUUUCAUUUUCUUCUCUUUUCUCUUUGUUUCUUCAACACUCCGUUUCUACAACUUUGAUAGCAACUGAUCUAUUUUCACCGGCGAUCUCUCAGUUUCGACUCGAAAAUCGGGUGAAUUCAGACUGUUUAGUUAUCACAAGGAGUUUUGUGAGUGUUUCUUUUUUUUUUCCUUCUUCUUCUGUUUUCACUAAUUAUUAAGUUGUUUGAUCAAAUUUCUAAAAUUAGCUGGUAUGGAAAAGUGUUUUUUCAAAAAAAUAUUUUUUGGUGAGAAAUAAUUUGUGUUUCAUAAAAAUAACUUGAGCAGCAAUUAAUAUUCAUCAAACUUUUAAAAGUGUUUUUAAAUUUGUAAGCCUAACUUAAUUUAUGACUUUUUGAUUUAUUUUUGUUAUUUGGCUUUAAAAAGGAACUUAAAAUCACUUCUUUUAUACACUAUUAUAAAGACAUAAUACAUAAAUAUGUUCUUUAAUGGGUUUUAUUUCACAUUUGUGCCCUUUUAAAUAUGUAAGGCAUAAUACAUAAACAUGACCCUUAACUUGCCUUCAGCGGACAACUAUGCCACCAACUUUGAGUAUGCACAAGUAGACACUUAAACUUGUAUAAAAUUGAAUAAAUAGACACGCGUACCGUAAGGCUAAGUUAAAGGGCAUUUAUGUAUUAUGCCUAUUAUAAAAGUGUUUAAAAACUAUUUUCACUUUAACAAAUCUAAAAUAAGUCAAUCCAAAUAAGCUCUAUAGUAAGUUUUCCUCAAAAGUAUUUACCAAAAAAUUACUUUAUGGAAAAACUACUUUUUUUAGCUUCUGAAAAAUAGCUUCUGUUACACUGGAGAACUUUUUUUUUUCCCCUCAAAAGCUGGACCAAACACCCCAUUUUUGUAAAAUAAUCAAUUUUUACCCUCCAAAUACUUGGCCAAACAGACUAUAUAUUUGUUUGAGUGCAAAUUUGGUAGAACACCUAAUGACCAACCUAAAACUUAGCAUGAAUUAUUAGUUAGAAUGCCUAAACUAUCAAUAGUCUUAAUUACCCUAAACGGGACGAGAUUGUGCGGGGUAAAGACACUAUCAAAUAUCUAAGCUCAGGGGCUUAUUCAGACUAAUAAUAGUUUAGGUAUGCAACGAAUAAUUUGUGUAAAGUUUAGGGGGGUCUUUAUAUUUUCUACCUUGAAAAUUUGGUAAGGAGUAUAUAAACAAAAGAGAACCAUCAGCAGUUGUGGUGGACGGUAAGUACUCCCUACAUUAACAGUUGUAACGGUACUGUGAACACCCAAUAAUUUAAGUACGAAAGUAGCAAAAAGUUAUAAUUUAGCCAAAUAAUAUGUUUUAAGCCAAAAUUAUGAUUUUCAACUACUUAUUUCUUCUCUAGAUGCAAUGACAUUUGUUUGAGUUGUGUAUUUCUUCUUCUUCAAACCAAAUCCGUAAAAGAAAAAAUAGUUGAAAGUCCAUUCAAAUAAAAGUUCCCGCCUAGAAAUGCAGUGCGAUUAGGAGUGAAAGUGGAUGGAGUAGUGUUGGAAUAGCAUCUUUGUAGAAAUUCUUAACAUCUUAAUGAUAUUAAAAUUUUGUUAUAGGUCUUAGUUAUUUAGAUAUACUCAGACUCGUUAAGCGGUGACAAAACAAAAGAACAAAUGAACUUAACGAUUGAUUAAGAUUUAGCCAUUAAAAGGCACAUAUAAUGACUAAAAGAUGAAGAAUUAAGACUCAGACAUUCAUUAAAUGCAAACAAACGCGGCCUAUGUUGAUUUUCUUACAUUGUUUUCUAUGUUGUACAGCUCAUCUAGCAAAAUGGAAGGAGCAACUACUUCAGUGUUAUGUAGUCACUUUGUUGUCAUGUUGAUCCUACUUCUACCAGAUACAUCAGUGGCUGAACCAAGAUCCCAGAUAAUCCGGCUCAUAUGUGGAAACAGAACGACGGUUUCCGUCCCAAAUUUUGUCGGUACAAUGGAAACGUUGAGUGAACAAGUGAGAGCUAGAAGAUAUGGAGUAGCAGUUACUGGCACUAGACCAGAUGCUACCUAUGGAAUUAGCCAAUGCUACGGUGAUCUAUCAUUAGUCGACUGUGUCUUAUGCUUUUCUGAAGUACGAACCCUUAUUCCCCAGUGCUUCCCUUAUAACGGAGCACGAAUUUAUCUUGAUGGCUGCUUUAUGCGAGCGGAGAAUUACAGUUUCUAUGACGAGUAUUUAGGUCCAGAGGACAGGCGAGUAUGCGGAAACAGGACGACAAAGGGUUCAUUGUUCCAACAGAAUGCUAGGGCAGCUGUUCAGCAAGCAGUUGGAAAUGCACCGAGUAAUAAUGGCUAUGCGCGUUCCCAAGUGUCAUUUCCGAGGGAUUCCAAUGAUACAGCUUAUGUUCUCGCUGAUUGCUGGAAGACACUGAGUGCAAAUUCCUGUGCAGCGUGUUUGCAAAAUGCAUCUGCAUCCAUGUUGGGAUGCUUGCCUUGGUCAGAAGGUAGAGCUCUGUACACCGGAUGCUUCAUGAGGUAUUCCGAUACCAAUUUUCUCAAUGCUAUUACUACCAACUGAGGCUGGUCAUCAAGGGGUACUUUUUUCUCUUUUUUCGUCCUGGUUUACCUGUUAUUUAUCGGCUGAACACGUAAAUUUUACUUGCAAAUCACCAUAUUGCAGGAAAAGUUGCAGUCACUAUCAUUGUUGUUAGUUCCGUUGUCGUUUUGGGAGUAGGUGCUUUCAUUGGUAUUGGUGUCUGGAAGAAUAAACUAAUCCAGAAGAAGAGAAAGGGUAAAUACUUUUGUGCCAAAAAUUAGUCAUUAGGAUAUCAAUGAUGUACAUAUAUUGCAUCUUUAUUCGAAAACUUAGAAUAAAAAAAUUUGAACUUGUUAGGUGCAAAUGAUGCCGAGAAAUUAGUGAAGAUACUUCAUGACAUCAGCUUGAACUUCAAGUAUUCGACGCUUGACAAAGCCACGGGGUCAUUUGAUGAGGCCAACAAGCUCGGGCAAGGUGGAUUUGGCACGGUUUAUAAAGUAUGUAAUAGCUGAAUGUAGUGCAAUUCAAUAUAAUACUUGAAGUGUUGGCAAUUAAUCCGAGUUUGAGGCGUGAUUUGUUGCAGGGUGUUUUGGCAGAUGGGAGAGAGAUCGCCGUCAAAAGGCUGUUCUUCAACAACAAACACAGAGUUGCAGAUUUUUAUAACGAGGUUAACAUAGUCAGCAGCAUUGAGCACAAAAAUUUGAUAAGGUUAUUGGGAUGCUGCUGCUCAGGACCGGAAAGCCUUCUUGUAUACGAGUUCCUCCCUAACCAGAGUCUUGAUCACUUCAUAUUUGGUAUGUAAGCGUCAUCCUCCCAAUUUUAUUUACGCUAAACUCAUGUUAUCAUCACACAAACUAAAAAUAAAAGUGAAAAUAAGUAACCGCCAUCGCGUUAAGACUAAAUGUCAUGUUUUCACAUAGCCAUGCCAGAGUGAUUCUAACUUUAAAAUUUGACAGACCCUAUAAAAGGUAAAGCUCUAAACUGGGAGAAAAGAUUUGAGAUAAUUAUUGGUACAGCAGAAGGAUUGGUAUACCUUCACGAGAACACAAAGACCCGAAUAAUCCACAGAGACAUAAAGGCAAGCAACAUCCUGUUGGACUCGAGGCUCCGUGCAAAGAUUGCUGAUUUUGGGUUGGCCAGGUCAUUCCAAGAAGACAAGAGUCACAUAAGCACUGUCCCUGCUGGCACAUUGUCAGUAUUUCUUCGUCUCGUCUUCUAUUUUUUCGCGUAAAAGUACACAAAAAAUGCAAAGACUAAUAUGGUCCAAUAAUGCAGGGGAUAUAUAGCUCCAGAAUACUUAGCACAUGGUCAAUUAACAGAAAAAGCAGAUGUUUACAGCUUUGGAGUUCUUCUACUAGAGAUUGUUACUGGAAAACAAAAUAACAAGAGAAAAAACGACGAAGAUACAGUCAGCUUAGUUUCCAAUGUAAUUUCUGAUCAAUCACUUCUCUCUUGAACCAAAUUUUAAAUCUAGGAAAACAUUUCUGUUCAUUGAUCGUAACUUUAUUAGAUGAAAUUAACAGGUGUGGGAGCACUUUCAACGUGGGAAAGUGGAGGAGCUGUUCGAUCUGAAUCUCAUGUUGCAUAACUGCCAUACAAUCAAUGUACAAAAUGAGGUUGCGAGAGUGUUACAUGUGGGACUUUUGUGCACUCAAGAGAUCCCAAUGUUACGUCCAUUCAUGUCUAAGGCAUUAAAAAUGCUCGUGAAGAAAGACGAAGAGUUGCCUCCUCCUACUAAACCGCCAUUCGUGGAUGAGAAAACCAUGGAACUUCACGACCCUUGGGAGAAGAACUUGCUCAAACAAAGCGAUUCUGCUUCGACUGCCAACUUAUCUCACAGUUCUUUUUACCCCAGAUGAUGAUAUCUCAGUGCUCCUGAACUGAAAGUGAUGUAAAAAUUGUAGUUAUCUCAAGCUGUCAAGCAUAUACUUUCGCCUCGUGUUCUUGAAGGAGACUUCUUCUUGAUCGAUCGAGUAGUUUGUUACAACAACCACAACAACUAUGUUUCUGUCUCAAACAAGUUGAGGUCGGCUAUAUGAAUUCUCAGUAUUCCAUUUAAGCGGUUAGUUGUAAGUUUAAAAUUUCAGAAUACAUUUUUCAAUUUUUUCAUGUAUUAUUUGUCAAUUUGGAAAAUAUUUUAUCUAGGAAAACAAGUUCUUUAAAAAGGAGGAAAAAAUGAUUUUCCUAGGUUGAGAAAACGAGUUUCGCAAGUGACGAAGAAUUUAUCUUGAUGGAUGCUUUUUUCGAGUGGACAAUUACAUGUUCUAUGACCAGUAUUUAGGUCCAGAAGACAGGCAUGUAUGCGGAAACAGGACGACAAAGGGUGCAUUGUUCCAACAGAAUGCUAGGCUAGCCAUUCAGCAAGCAGUUGCAAAUGCACCGAGUAAUGACGGCUAUGCGCGUGCCGAAGUGUCAGUACACGGUCCUUCCAACGAGACAGCUUAUGUUCUCGCUGAUUGUUGGAAGACACUAAGCGCGAAUUCCUGUGCAGCGUGUUUGCAAAAUGCAUCUGCAUCUAUGUUGGGAUGCUUACCUUGGUCAGAAGGUAGAGCCCUUUACACUGGAUGCUUCAUGAGAUAUUCUGAUACAAAUUUUCUCAAUGAUACUUCUACCAGUGGAGGUUCGUCAUCAAGGGGUACGUUUAGCUCUUUUUUCGUCCUGGUUUACCGGUUAUUAUGAACUAAUUUUUACUUUCAAAUUCACCAUAAUGCAGGAAAAGUUGUAGUCAUUGUCAUAGUUGUUGUAAUUAGUUCCGUUGUCGUUUUGGGAGCAGGUGCGUUCGUUGGUUUUGGUGUUUGGAAGAACAAACAAAUCCAGAAGAAGAGAAAAGGUAAAUACUUUUGUGCCAAAAAUAUCAAUGAUGUACAUAUUGCUGAGUAUAUAUCUUGCGAUUUGCACACAACUGUACCGAAACAACUUUCAAGAAUUAACUUGAGGCGUUAUGGCUACUCGUGCUUUUCCUGUGAAAUUUGAACUUGUUAGGUGCAAAUGAUGUUGAGAAAUUAGUGAAGAUCCUUCAUCAAAACAGCUUGAACUUCAAGUAUUCGACACUUGACAAAGCCACGGGGUCAUUUGAUGAGGCCAACAAGAUCGGGCAAGGUGGAUUUGGCACAGUUUAUAAGGUAUGUAAUGGCUGAAUGUUAACAGCAAGGCAAUUAAACAGAGUUUGAGAUACAAUUGUUGCAGGGUGUUUUGGCAGACGGAAGAGAGAUCACCAUCAAAAGGCUGUUCUUCAACAACAAACACAGAGCUGCAGAUUUUUAUAACGAGGUUAACAUAAUCAGUAGUGUCCAGCACAAAAAUUUGACACGGUUAUUGGGAUGCAGCUGUUCAGGACCGGAAAGCCUUCUUGUAUACGAGUUACUCCUUAACCAGAGUCUUGAUCGCUUCAUAUUUGGUAAGUAACCCGACAUUGCAACAACAAUUACUAUACCUCAGUCCCAAACAAGUUAGGGGUCGGCCUUAUGAAUCCUCGCUAUUCUAUUUAUGCUAAACUCAUGUCAUCAUUACUCCAACUAAAAAAAAAGUGAAAAUAAGUUAAACUCAAGAAACCGACGUUGCAUUAAGACUAAGUGGAAUGACUUUGUCAUGUAUAUUGAUUCUAACCUUAAAAUUUGACAGACCCUAUCAAAGGUAAAGCUCUAAAUUGGGAGAAAAGAUUUGAGAUAAUUAUAGGGACAGCAGAAGGAAUGGUAUACCUACACGAGAACACAAAUACACGAAUUAUUCACAGAGACAUUAAGGCAAGCAACAUCCUGUUGGACUCGAGGCUCCGUGCAAAGAUUGCUGAUUUUGGUUUGGCCAGGUCAUUCCAAGAAGACAAGAGUCACAUAAGCACUGCCAUUGCUGGCACAUUGUUAGUAUUUCUUCAUCCCAUCUUCUAAUUUUUCGCGUAAAAGUACACAAAAAAUGGGAUGAUUUACCCUUUUUAUGCAGAGGAUAUAUGGCUCCAGAAUACUUAGCACACGGUCAGCUAACAGAAAAGGCAGACGUCUACAGCUUUGGAGUUCUUGUUACUGGAAGUCAAAAUAACAAGAGAAAAAACGCCGAAUAUGCAGUCAGCUUAGUUUCCAAUGUAAUUUCUGAUCAAUCACUUCUCUCUUGAACCAAAUUUUUAAUCUUGACAAACAUUUACGUUCAUUGGUCUUAACUCUUAUAUUUGAUGAAAUUAACAGGCGUGGGAGCACUUUCAAUGCGGGAUAGUGGAGGAACUCUUCGAUCCCAAUCUCAUGUUGCAUAACUACCAUACAAUUAAUGUGAAAAAUGAGGUUGCAAGAGUGUUACAUGUGGGACUUUUGUGCACUCAAGAGAUUCCAUCAUUACGGCCAUCCAUGUCUAAGGCAUUACAAAUGUUCGUCAAGAAAGACGAAAAGUUGCCUUCUCCUACUAAGCCGCCAUUCGUGGAUGAGAAAACCAUGGAACUUCAUGACCCUUGCGAGAUGUACUCGCUUAAACAAGGCGAUUCUGCUACGACUGCUGACUUAUCUCACAGUUCAUUUUACCCCAGAUGAUGACAUCCCAUUGCCCUGAAACUGAAGUGUAAAAUUGGCCUCAACUGGCAACUAAACACUCCAACUUUGCCUAUGCACAUCUAGACACCUCAUUUCUAAAAGUAGGGGGGGGGGAUUGAAUUAUUUUUGUAGUUUGUCUAUAUAAAAUUAUGAGUUUGAUUUAAUGUGGAUCUGAGGCCUCAUUUGUUUUCAUUAAGAUUUAGACGUUUGAAUCUGAAUACAUAUUUGAAUGAUUAAGAUUGUUUGUUUAAACAUCUGAACGUACAUAAUAUUAUAUAUAAUUCAAACAAAAAUUAGUUAAAUAUUAAUAAAAUAAUUAUUUGAUUUUAAAAGAAUAAAACAUUUUUGCUUGCUAAUGAUGAUGAAGAUACUUUGUAGUGGUGGUGGUAAUAGUUGUUGUUAGUGUCUAGUAAUGAUGGUGGUGGUAGUUGUGAUGGUGGAGGUGGUUGGUGUUGUGGUGAUGACUAUCAUAAUGAUGGCAAUUGGUAGUUGUGUUGGAGGUUGUAAUUGUGAAGUUGGUUGAUGUUAGUGGUUGUCGGUGAUAAUGGUGGUGAUUGAUUAUGUGUUUGUGGUAGUUAGCGGCGAUGCUAGUUAUGAGAUGAAGGUGGUUGGUAGUGGAGAUUGACCACAGUAAUGGUAGUGGCUGAUAGUAGUAGUGGAGGUGGCGGUGGUGGGGUUGUGAUAGAAGAAUGUAUGGUGGUAGUUGGCGGCGGUGCUAGUGUGAUGGUAGCAUUUGUUGGUAGUAGGAAUUUUCUUGAAGACUGAAGUGGUGGUAGUGGUUAAGAGUGGUAGUUGAGGUAGCGGGGGAUGUAGAGACGGGAGGUGGUGAUGACAAUUGAUAUAAUUAUAAUAUGGAGGAGGUAAGUGUGGUAGCAGCUUCCAGUAGUGGUUAGCAAUGGUGAUGGUUGUGAUGACAUAGGUGGUUGGUGGUAGACGACAAUAAUUGUGGUUGGCAAUGGUGGUAGUAGCGGUGGUUGUGAUGGCAGAGGUGAGUAGUGGGGGUUGGUGAUUGUGGAUAGAGUGAUGGUGAAUAUUAUCCUCACAAGAAUACUUUAUGAUGUUAAGACUCGGUUCUAGAUCUUAAUAAUUAACACCAAUUUAAACCAAUUAAUUGCUUAAAUCUUAAUGAAAAUAUAUGUUUUUAAUGGUCUAAUGUUUGAACCAUUCAGAUUCAGACAUCAAUUAAGUGCAAACAAAUGAGGCCUUAUCCUAGUCCCCUUGGGUUGCAAGUUCUCCGUACGUUCUUGAAAUUUGUCUUGUUCUGUGAAGUGUAUUUCCUACGGUAUCUUUUUUCUCUUGAUUAAUCCAAUGCCUCACAACAAUAUUUUUCCUCUCUUACCCUAUUUUGAUUACACAGUGUCACAUUAGUGUCGGGUGUUCAUGAAACACAAUGAGGAUGAGUUGGAUGGUAUAGUUGUUUGUUGAGACCAAGUUGAGGUGUCUAGAUGUGUAUUCAUAAAGUUAGAGUGAUGAGGUCAAAUUUGAGUGAUUGUUUAUGUAUUAUAUCUAAAUGAUAAGCAUCUUUUUGCCUCGUCUUCUUGAAAUAGACUUUAUCACGAUCGAGUUGUUAGCUACUUUAGAUCCUUACGCGGUGCAAAUUUAUAUUAGUUGAAUUUUUGAAUUUCAAAUAUCAUAUAAAAUAUACCAAACAAUCAAGCAAGCAACUUGUAAAUAAAUAUAUUUCUAAAAAGUCGUACAUCAACAUCUUAAAAAGUCCUGCACUUGUUUUUCCUUCUAUAAAUUGAAAGUUAAAUCAAUUUCUAAUAAGAACGCAUGUGAAACCUUUAUAGUACCAUAAAUAUUAGUAUAUCUUUUUUUCAAAGACAAACUUCAAAAUUUUUACAUCCACACAUAGAAUUAUAACAUGUCAAAGAUCACAAAAAUAUUUAUUUUCUUGUUAAUUUUCGUAUCAAAUUAAACUUUAUCAUAUAAAUUUGAACAGAAGAAUAUGUUUCUUUCUUCUUCUUUUCUUCUUCUCCUUUGGCAGUAAAUGUACAGUAGAAAAAGACCCUUGUAGACUUCCUAGCCUUUAUUUUGAAAAAUUCAAACAAAUAAUCCUUCCAACAAAUUCUUCCUCUUGUUCACACACAAAAUAAAAUAAAAUAAAUUAUGGUAGAGUAAUAAAUAUUCUUUAUUUUUAAUUAAAAAUUUUAAAUUCAAACUCCAUAGCAUCGUUUUUGUCAGAGAAUAUUUUCUUCACCCCCAAUAUAAAGUUUUUCGGCAUGAUAUAAAUAUGGGACACCAACUUAUCUCCUUUCUACGAUGUAAAAUUUUUCAGCAUGCAUUCAAAUUUAAUCCACUCUAAUAUAGAUAUCAAAUAUCGCCGCCUCGAAAAAAAAAGUUGGAAGUAAAAAAACUUCCCUCACAAAACGACCCACUAAUUAAUACUACCUCCGUCCACUUUUAAUUGUCAUAGUUUUCUUUUUUAGAGUCAAAUUAUAAAAACUUUGACUAACAUUUCACAAUAUAUUCAUAUUGAUAGGUAAAAAAAAUUGCAAUUUAUAGUACUUUUCGUAUAGUUUUUGAAUACCUAAAUUUUUUGUUCAAAAUAUAAAAUUAAUGUAAUCUAAUUUAACUUUAAAAAUAAGUCAAAUUGACUUUCGAAAAGCCCAACAUGGCAAAUAAAAGUGGACAUACGGAUUAUAAAUUGCCCUUCAUUUUUCCUGUUUUCUCUGUUUCUACAACUUCGGCAGCAGCUGAUCAGUUUGCACCGGCGAUAUCUCUCUUUUCCGACUCAAAAUCCGGCGAAUUCAAACCGUUCAGUGUUCACAAGACUUUGUGAGUGUUCUUUCUAUUUUCAGUGAGAUUCAAUGAUUGUGGCAGGCGGUAAAAAAUCCUUCGUACUUAAUAAGUAAGAGUUAUCAAGUUCGAGCUUUAGAAAUGAAGUUAGCUCUUUAAUUUGAGCUGAAUUUGGGCGGGUUAAAUCAAUGAAUGGGUUAUUGUCUGGGUUAAACAACGGGUCAUAGCUCAAUUCGUCUUACUUGACCCAUUACUUGUACAAAUUUCAAACUCAUAUUCUAUGGUAUUUCUAUGGUGUUUUACAUAUAUAAAUAAGAAUAGCAUUUGAUAUCUGGUAUUGUUUUGUUUUGUUUUUGUAGUGAAUAAGAUUCAAUAAUUGCUUAGUUUUCCUGUUAUGAAUUGUGCUAUGUUUAAUUUCAUGGGAUAGAUGAUAUUUAGUUACUCCCUUAGCCUGAAAUGGGCGGGUCAAUAAUCAAUCCAAACUUGGGGAGGUUUGGCGGGUUAUGAUUUCAUGGGAUAAUUAUGUCAUCCUUAGUGAUGGCGGGUAGUAGCUAGUGAUGGUGAUGGUUGGUGGGGUGGUUAACAAUGGUAAUUGAUGGUGGUGGCUACCGAUAAUUGUGAUGGAUGGUAGUAAUAGUUAAUAGGGGUGGUGACUAAUAGCGGUGAUUGGUGAUGGUGGCGAUUGCCCAUAAUGAUUGGUGAUUAUUAUGGUAAUGCUAAUUGGUGGUGAUAGUUGUAAAUGAUGACUGACUGCAGAGAUUGAGGGAAUGGUAGCUGUGGAUGAGGAUGGUGAUUGUGGAGUUGUGAUAAUUGAUAUGAGUGGACAACAAUGAUGACAACGAUUAGCAGUUGUCCCGCCUUUGUUAAAAAAUAUUUUCAUAUUUUUCAAGAUCAAAAGGGUUAUCAACAUUGAAAGUGACAAAAUUGUGUUUCUAAAACAAGUCCAACUCCAAAUGACUUAUCAUCAAUAGAGAUUUCGGUUAAGAAAUUUGGUUGACUGAGGGGAAGGUGUUGGGCACCCUCAAGUAUCAUGGUUCUGGCAUGGAAGAAAACUUUAAUUUCUUUCUCUUUAUGGAUAACCAAUUAAUUUCCAAAUAUAGUUGGGAGAAUUUACCCAAGAAAUGGGCCAAAAAAAUGGAAAGAUCGGAACAUGGGAAUAGAUCUGAUACCAAUACAGACUACCUAUUUCAAUUGUUGUGCUUUAUGAACCUAUACAAGGGUUCAAGUUUCAAUCGAUAUUUGCGGAGUUGAUUAUCCCUCUCGAAAACAAAGAUUUGAAGUGGUCUAUAUGUUUACUGAGUAUUCGGUAUAACUCACUCAUUCGUGUACAAACCAGUGCAGACGAAGUAACACGAAUAUCUCCGAUGGUCAGUCUAUUUCCAUCAGCCGGCCGGUGGGAGCGAGAAGUUUGGGACAUGUUUGGUGUUUCUUCGCUUUACUGACUCGUAUUGGCUUAAAAUAAAAACUUAACUAAACAAACUCACACACACCCAAGUGUGCGCACAAACAAGGUGUUCUAAAACAAUGUCCGAACUAUUACAGUCCAAAACAAACUAUUUUCUUAUGUUUUUUCUCUAAUAGUAGUUCAAUUAGUCCUCUCACAUUGUUUCUGUGUUGUACAGCUCAUUUGGCAAAAAUGGAAAGAGCAACCCCUUCAAUGUUAUUUAGUCACUUUGUUAUUGUGUUGAUCCUACUUCUACCAGAUACAUCAGUGUCUGAACCAAGAUCCCAGAUAGUCCAGCUCAUAUGUGGAAACGAAACAACAGGUACCGUCUCAAUUUUUGUUAAUGGAAUGGAAACUAUAAGUGAACAAAUGAGAACUAGAGGAAAUGGAGUAGCGGCUACAGGCACUGAACCAAAUGUUAGCUAUGGACUUGGCCAAUGCUAUGGUGAUCUUUCAUUACCGGACUGUGUCUUAUGCUUCUCUGAAGUGCGAACCCUUUUUCCCAAGUGCUUCCCUAGUGGCAAGUCGCGAAUUUAUCUUGAUGGCUGCUUUAUGCGAGUGGACAAUUACAAUUUCUAUGACCAGUAUUUUGGUCCAGAGGAUAGGCAUGUAUGCGGAAACAGGACGACAAAGGGUUCAUUGUUCCAGCAAAAUGCAAGGCGAGCCAUUCAGCAAGCAGUUGCAAAUGCACCGAGUAACAAUGGUUACGCGCGUGCUCAAGUGUCAGUGCCCGGGUCUUCCACCAUGACAGCUUAUGUUCUCGCUGAUUGCUGGAAGAAGCUAAGUGCAAACUCCUGCGCAGCGUGUUUGCAAAAUGCAUCUGCAUCCAUGUUGGGAUGCUUGCCUUGGUCAGAAGGUAGAGCCCUUUACACUGGAUGUUUCAUGAGGUAUUCUGAUACAAAUUUUCUCAAUACUAUUUCUACCAGUGGAGGCUCGUCAUCCAGUGGUACGUUUUUCUCUUUUUUCGUCCUGGUUUACUGGUUAUUUAUAAACUAAUUUUUACUUUCAAAUCACCAUAUUGCAGGAAAAGUUGUAGUCAUUGUCGUUGUUGUUGUUAGUUCCGUUGUCGUUUUGGGAGUAGUUGCAUUCAUUGGUUUUGGUGUCUGGAAGAACAAACAAAUCCAGAAGAAGAGAGAAGGUAAAUACUUUUGUGCCAAAAAUUAGUUAUAAAAGUCAUUAAGAUAUCAAUAUAUUGCUGAGUAUAUAUCUUGCGAUUUGCACACAACUGUUCCGAAGACAACUUUCAAGAAUUAACUUGAGGCGUUAUGACCUACUCGUGCUUUUCCUGGGAAAUUUGAACUUGUUAGGUGCAAAUGAUGUUGAGAAAUUAGUGAAGAUCCUUGAUCAAAACAGCUUGAACUUCAAGUAUUCGACACUUGACAAAGCCACGGGUUCAUUUGAUGAGGCCAACAAGCUCGGGCAAGGUGGAUUUGGCACAGUUUAUAAGGUAUACAAUGGCUGAAUGUAGUGUGAUUAUCUUAACAGCAAUGCAAUACCAGAAGUGUUGGCUAUUUAACAGAGUCUGAGGUGCAUUUUGUUGCAGGGUGUUUUGGCUGACGGGAGAGAGAUCGCGGUCAAAAGGCUGUUCUUCAACAACAAACACACAGCUGCAGAUUUUUAUAACGAGGUUAACAUAAUCAGUAGCGUCCAGCACAAAAAAUUUGACAAGGUUAUUGGGAUGCAGCUGCUCAGGAACGGAAAACCUUCUUGUAUACGAGUUACUCCCUAACAAGAGUCUUGAUCGCUUCAUAUUUGGUAAGUAACCAGACUUUGCAACAACAACUACGCCUCAGUCCCACACAAGUUAAGGUCAGCUAUAUAAACCCUCACUAUGUUAUUUAAGCUAAACUCAUGUCAUCAUUGCACCAACUAAAAAGAAAAGUACAAAUAAGGUAACCGACUUUCAUUAAGACUAAGUGGUGUGUUUUCACAUAAGCACGCCCGAAUGAUUUUGUCACGUAUAUUGAUUCUAACCUUCAAAUUUGACAGACGCUAUCAAAGGUAAAGCUCUAAAUUGGGAGAAAAGAUUUGAGAUAAUUAUAGGGACAGCAGAAGGAUUGGUCUACCUACACGAGAACACUAAGACCCGAAUAAUUCAUAGAGACAUAAAAGCAAGCAACAUCCUGUUGGACUCGAGGCUCCGUGCAAAGAUUGCUGAUUUGGUUGGCCAGAUCAUUCCAAGAAGACAAGAGUCACAUAAGCACUGUCAUUGCUGGCACAUUGUUAGUAUUUCUUCGUCUCAUUGUUUAUUUUUUUCGCGUAAAAGUACACAAAAACAAAUAAUGGAUGAUUUACCCUUUUUAUGCAGAGGAUAUAUGGCUCCAGAAUACUUAGCACGCGGUCAGCUAACAGAAAAAGCAGACGUUUACAGCUUUGGAGUUCUUCUACUAGAGAUUGCUACUGGAAGACAAAAUAACAAGAGAAAGAACACCGAAUAUACAGUCAGCUUAGUUUCCGAAGUAAUUUCUGAUCAAUCACUUCUCUCUUGAACCAAAUUUUAAAUCUAGGAAAACAUUUCUGUUCAUUGAUCUUAACUUUAUUGGAUGAAAUUAACAGGUGUGGGAGCACUUUCAACGCGGGAUAGUGGAGGAACUGUUCGAUCCAAAUCCAAUGUUGCAUAACUGCCAUACAAUCAAUGUACAAAAUGAGGUUGCGAGAGUGUUACAUGUGGGACUUUUGUGCACUCAAGAGAUCCCAACAUUACGUCCAUUCAUGUCUAAGGCAUUAAAAAUGCUCGUGAAGAAAGACGAAGAGUUGCCUCCUCCUACUAAUCCGCCAUUCGUGGAUGAGAAAACCAUGAAACUUCACGACCCUUGGGAGAAGAACUUGCUCAAACAAGGUGAUUCUGCUUCGAUUGCCAAGUUAUCUCACAGUUCUUUUUACCCCAGAUGAUGAUAUCUCAGUGCUCCUGAACUGAAAGUGAUGUAAAAAUUAUAGUUAUCUCAAGCUGUCAAGCAUAUUCUUUCGCCUCGUGUUCUUGAAGGAAACUUCAUCGUGAUCGAUCGAGCAGUUUGUUACAACAACUAUGUUUCUAUCUCAAACAAGUUGAGGUCAGCUAUAUGAAUUCUCAGUAUUCCAUUUAAGCGGUUAGUUGUAAGUUCAAAACUUCAGAAUACAUUUUUCAAUUUUUUCAUGUAUUAUUUGUCAAUUUGGAAAAUAUUUUAUCUAGGAAAACAAGUUCUUUAAAAAGGAGGAAAAAAUGAUUUUCCUAAUGAAAGUUGAGAAAACGAGUUUCGCAAGUGACAUCCCAACUAUGUUGACUUCCACAUGUCUUUUUUUUGUUGCUUUUAUUGUUUCCACUUCUUUGUUGCAUAAGUGCAAGGGCAGAGGUAGGUAGGGUCAUAAGUGUUCAUCUGAAUCCCCUUCGAUGGAAAAUUAUACAUCCUCCGUUUAGAAAAGAAUGACCUCGUUUCACUUGACACGGAGUUUAAAAAAUAAAGAAGACUUCUCAAUCUUGUGAUUUUAAAUUAAAGUUAUGUCAAAUAUAUCAAAAUGUCCCUUAAUCUUGUGGACAUAAACAUGUCACGUGAAAAUUGAAAUUAAAGUGUUACCAAAAAAGGAAAGGGGUCGUUCUUUUUCAAACCGACUUGAUAGGAAAACAAUUGAAAUGGAGGGAGUACUAUUUAUACAUGUUUAAAUUUUUAUUUGUUUAAGGUAUAUACGGUAGAUGGUGAACAUUGUAUUUCCAUCCCUAGUCACUUUAUCAAAAUAUGUAUUCAACAUAUUAAUUUCAUUUUAAAAUUUCAUGUCAAAUCAAAAUCAUAUCACGCAAAUUGAAAGAGGAGAAGUAUCUUUUUUCUUCUCCUCUUCUUUAUUAUUCUGGAUUGGGCAGUAAGUAAAGUAAUUACAAAAAAGGCCCCACAAAUAUCUAUUAAAGUCUUCUAUUGUACUGUUUUAAGUUCGUUUGAAAAAUUCAAACAACAAUGUCUUUCCUCUUGUUGACUUCUCUCAACAAAAAAAUAAAAUAAAAUUACUUCCUCCGUAUUAAUUUGUUCGUCUAGUUUUGAUUUGACAUUAAAUUUAAAUUAUUAUUUUGAAUAUUAUGAUAUCAAUUACUGUUUAAUCUUAUGGUCUUAAACAUGUCAUAUAGUAUGUUAGAAAUAAAGAGUUGUCGGAGUAAAAUGGAAAGUAGUACAAACAAAUUGAAACGAAGAGAUUAUAAAAUAAUGGGAGUUGCCCCAAAAUCAUCUUAUACUCUUUCAUCCUUAGCUAAAAAUUCCAGAUUCGAGCCUGUUUAUUUUAUCCCAAUAUAAAAAAUUUCAACACGAAUCCUAAUUUAGUCGGCUUCAAUACGGAUAUCAUCAUACUUGACACCAGAUUAGGAAACCAAAAAUAGUAUAAAAGGACUUCUCUCACAAAGCGACCCAUUAAUUCAAAGCCACUUUGAUUCAUUUUUCAUCAAUAAAACAAAUUUUCUUCUCUUUUCUCUCUAUUUCUUCAUCACUCUGUUUCGACAACUUUGACAGUAGCUGAUCAGUUUUCACCAGCGAUCUCUCUGUGCCGACUCGAAAAUCCGGCGAAUUCAGACUGUUUAGUGAUCAGAAGGAGUUUUGUGAGUGUUUUUUUUUCCCUUUUUCACUAAUUAUUAAGUUAUUUGAUCAAAUUUCUAAAAUCAGCUUAUAUUGAAAAGUGUUUUUCAAAAUAAAAAUAAAAAUUGGUGAUUAACAGUUAGAGUUCAGCCAAUAAACUUAUAAAAAUAACUUGAGCAGCAAUUAUAACUUAUGGCCCCAUAUGUUUUUACUAAUAUUCAGACGUCCAAAUUUGAACACACAUCUCAAUUUUAUUGUAUUAAUCUUAAGAUAUCUGAAUACGAAUAUAUAUAUCUAUAUAUAUGAAUAUAAAAUUGUUGUAUUGAGAUCUGAAUAUUAAAUAAUUAAGAUUGUUCGUUUUUUCAAUAUCUGAAUGUACAAAAUUUGUCCUUAAUUAUAAACUAAUAAAUAAAAAAUUCAAAUAAAAUACUGAGUAAUCUAAUACAGUAUCAUCAAAUUAUUUUAGAAAUUUAAUCUGAUUGUUGGUGGUGAUGGAUGGUUGAUAGUGAUGAUUGUGAGUGCCAAAUGAUGAUUGUGGUUGGUGAUGAUUGAUGUUGGUUGAUGUCAGUUGUUGUGGGUAGAGGCUAGUGAUAAUGGUGGCUAAAAGUUAGGGGCAGAGCUAACAUUCCGAUUAUGCGUUUGGCAGAACAUAGAAGGUUUUUACAUAGAUCCCAUAUUUGUGUUAAAAAAUUACUUAAUAUGUAUAAAUAACUUAUCAAGAACGCAGUAACUUUCUUGUUGUGGAAUCUAAAAUUCGUAAACUCAAAAUUCUAACUCUGUCUCUGCUGAUAGUAGUGGCUAAUAAUGGUUGUAGAUGGUGGCCGGUGGAUGAGAAUAAUAGUUAAUGGUGAUGAUGAGUGAUCACAAUGAUUGAUGAUAUAUAGUGGAGACUGUCGGUAGUGAUUGGUGGUGAUGAUCGUAAAUGAUGACUAGUGGUGAUUGGUGACGACGUCAGUUGUGGUUAUGGAUGGUGCUCAAUAGUACUCACAUUGUUUUCUAUGUUGUACUUGUACAGCACGCGCCCAUCUAGCAAAAUGGAAGGAGCAACUCCUUUAGUGUUAUGUAGUCACUUUGUUGUCAUGUUGAUCCUACUUGUACCAGAUACAUCAGUGGCUGAACCAAGAUCCCAGAUAAUCCAGCUCAUAUGUGGAAACAAAUCGACGGUUUCCGUCCCAAAUUUUGUUGGUACAAUGGAAACGUUAAGUGAACAAGUGAGAGCUAGAGGAUAUGGAGUAACCGUUACUGGCACUGGACCAGAUGCUACUUAUGGAAUUAGCCAAUGCUAUGGUGAUCUUUCAUUAAUUGACUGUGUCUUAUGCUUCUCUGAAGCGCGAACCCUUUUUCCCCAGUGCUUCCCUUAUAACGGAGCGCGAAUCUAUCUUGAUGGCUGCUUUAUGCGAGCGGAGAAUUACAGCUUCUAUGAUCAGUAUUUAGGUCCAGAGGACAGGCGAGUAUGCGGAAACAGGACGACAAAGGGUUCAUUGUUCCAACAGAAUGCUAGGGCAGCUGUUCAGCAAGCAGUUGGAAAUGCACCGAGUAAUAAUGGCUAUGCGCGUUCCCAAGUGUCAUUUCCCAGGGAUUCCAAUGAUGCAGCUUAUGUUCUCGCUGAUUGCUGGAAGACUCUGAGUGCGAAUUCCUGUGCAGCGUGUUUAUGAAAUGCAUCUGCAUCCAUGUUGGGAUGCUUGCCUUGGUCAGAAGGUAGAGCUCUGUACACUGGAUGCUUCAUGAGGUAUUCUGAUACCAAUUUUCUAAAUGCUAUUUCUACCAACGGAAGCUCGUCAUCAAGGGGUACUUUUUGUUCUUUUUUCGUCCAGGUUUACCUGUUAUUUAUCGACUGAACACGUAAAUUUUACUUGCAAAUCACCAUAUUGCAGGAAAAGUUGUAGUCACUAUCAUUGUUGUUAGUUCCGUUGUCGUUUUGGGAGUAGGUGCUUUCAUUGGUAUUGGUGUCUGGAAGAAUAAACUAAUCCAGAAGAAGAGAAAAGGUAAAUACUUUUGUGCCAAAUAUCAAUGAUGUACAUAUAUUGCAGCUUUAUUCGAAAACUUAGAAUAAAAAAAAUUGAACUUGUUAGGUGCAAAUGAUGCCGAGAAAUUAGUGAAGAUACUUCAUGACAUCAGCUUGAACUUCAAGUAUUCGACGCUUGACAAAGCCACGGGGUCAUUUGAUGAGGCCAACAAGCUCGGGCAAGGUGGAUUUGGCACGGUUUAUAAAGUAUGUAAUAGCUGAAUGUAGUACAAUUCAAUAUAAUACUUGAAGUAUUGGAAAUUAAACCGAGUCUGAGGCGUGAUUUGUUGCAGGGUGUUUUGGCAGAUGGGAGAGAGAUCGCCAUCAAAAGGCUGUUCUUCAACAACAAACACAGAGUUGCAGAUUUUUAUAACGAGGUUAACAUAGUCAGCAGCAUUGAGCACAAAAAUUUGAUAAGGUUAUUGGGAUGCAGCUGCUCAGGACCGGAAAGCCUUCUUGUAUACGAGUUCCUCCCUAACCAGAGUCUGGAUCGCUUCAUAUUUGGUAAGUAAGGGUCAUCCUCACUAUUUUAUUUACGCUAAACUCAUGUUAUCAUCACAGAAACUAAAACUAAAAGUGAAAAUAAGUAACCACCAUCGUGCUAAGACUAAACGUCAUGUUUUCACAUAACCAUGCCAGAGUGAUUCUAACUUUAAAAUUUGACAGACCCUAUAAAAGGUAAAGCUCUAAAAUGGGAGAAAAGAUUUGAGAUAAUUAUAGGUACAGCAGAAGGAUUAGUAUACCUACACGAGAACACAAAGACACGAAUAAUACACAGAGACAUAAAGGCAAGCAACAUCCUGUUGGACUCAAGGCUCCGUGCAAAGAUUGCUGAUUUUGGAUUGGCCAGGUCAUUCCAAGAAGACAAGAGUCACAUAAGCACUGUCCUUGCUGGCACAUUGUCAGUAUUUCUUCGUCUCGUCUUCUAUUUUUUCGCGUAAAAGUACACAAAAAAUGCAAAGACUAAUAUGGUUCAAUAAUGCAGGGGAUAUAUGGCUCCAGAAUACUUGGCACAUGGUCAAUUAACAGAAAAAGCAGAUGUUUACAGCUUUGGAGUUCUUCUACUAGAGAUUGUUACUGGAAGACAAAAUAACAAGAGAAAAAAAGACGAAGAUACAGUCAGCAUAGUUUCCGAUGUAAUUUCUGAUCAUUUCUCUCUUGAACCAAAUUUUAAAUCUAGGAAAACAUUUCUGUUCAUUGGCCUUAACUUUAUUGGAUGAAAUUCACAGGUGUGGGAGCACUUUGAACGCGGGAUAGUGGAGGAGCUGUUCGAUCUGAAUCUCAUGUUGCAUAACUGCCAUACAAUCAAUGUACAAAAUGAGGUUGCGAGAGUGUUACAUGUGGGACUUUUGUGCACUCAAGCGAUCCCAACGUUACGUCCAUUCAUGUCUAAGGCAUUAAAAAUGCUCGUCAAGAAUGACGAAGAGUUGCCUCCUCCUACUAAGCCACCAUUUGUGGAUGAGAAAACCAUGGAACUUCAUGACCCUUGGGAGGAUUACUCACUUAAACAAGGCAGUUCUUCUUCAAUUGCCAACUUAUCUCACAGUUCUUUUUACCCCAGAUGAUGAUAUCUCAGUCCCCUGAAAUUGAAACAUAGAUUAUUGGCAUAUACAUAGACACAGUCUAGUCCCCUUUGGUUGCAAGGGUGUUCUAUGUGAGUUCGUGAAGUUUGUCGUGUACAAGAUAUGUGAAGUGUAGUUCCUAAGUCUAUAUACACUUAAACUUGUAUAAAGUUGAAUAAGUAGACACGUGAGUUCUAUAUGACAUAAUUAAUGCACGUAGGACACAAGCGUAGGACGUGUGUGUCUAUUUGUUCAACUUUAUACAAGUUUAAGUAUCUACUUGUGCACACCAAAAGUUGGAGGACAUAAAUGUGAAAUGACGCCAAGUUAAAUGACAUAUUUAUAUAUUGUGCCCUACCUUUGAUGGGUUCUUAUAUGGUUUCUUUGAACUAGUCAUUUGAGGUCUUGGACAGAGAUGACAACUUUGAGUAUGCACAUUUAAACGCUUCAACUCGUCUCCACUGUGUCAGUUGAGUCGUAACAUUAUUGGUUGACUUAAGCCUUGUAAUUUAUCAUGGUUAAGUAAUAAUAAGGUCAAAAUUCACAUUUGUAUUUAGUUUUUAUUUUAAAUCAAUAUAUUUUAUCCUGAAUAAGUAAUAACAUGUCAAAGAUCACAAAUUCUAAAUUCUUUUUCAUUCUUAAACCCGUAUCAAAUCAAACUAUGUCACAUAGAUUUAAACAGGGGAGUAUCUUUUGUCUUCUCCUUUUUUUUUUUGGCAGUAAUGGGAAUUUUCAUAUAUAAAUCCAAUAAUCAAAUAGGCAGUAACUGUUACUCUUUGAAAAAUUCAAACAAAUGAUCUUUUCAACAAAUUAUUUCCUCUUGUUGACUUCUCUCUCACAAAGAAAAACCAAUAAAAAUUGCGGUGGAGGGGUAACUACUUCAUCUAUAAUUAAUCAGAAGGUUUGGGUUCGAGCAUUCUUGGGUAUAUAAUUGUCUUUGUUAGAAAACGUAUUACCCCUAAUGAGGAACUACUUCCCGAUAUCAAUUCAAAUUCAAUCUGCUUCAAUAUGAAUACCGGAUACUCGACUGAAAAAACAAAAAACAAAAGUGAAAGAAAAAAAGACUUCUAUUACAAAACUGCUCUUACCAUUUCCUGUUUGACCCAUUAAUUAAAAAAUUCCCUUUUGUCUCUUUUAUUCAACAUUUUUCUUCCCAUUAUCUAUCAGCCUCAUCUCUUCUGUUGACUUCUCUCACAAAAAAAUAAAUAAAUAGUCGCGGUGGAGUGGUAAGUACUCUUUCGUCUUUAAUCAGAAUUUUCGAGUUCGAGUGUAGUUAGGAAAAAAGUUGUCUUUAUUAAGCUUUAUCUCAGAUACAUCAGUGGCUGAAUCAAUAUCUCAGAUAGUCCAGAUCAUAUGUGGAAAUGAAACGGGGGCUUCCGUCACAAAAUUAUAUGGAUACAACGAAAAACAUAAGUCAACAAAUGAGAACUAGAGGAUAUGGAGUAGCAGUUACCGGCACUGGACUAGAUACUAACUAUGCACUUGCCCAAUGCUAUAGUAAUCUUUCUUUAGUCGACUGCGUCUUAUGCUUCUCUGCAGCGGAAACUCUCCUGCCCCAAUGCUACCCUUAUAACGGACGAAGAAUUUAUCUUGAUGGAUGCUUUUUUCGAGUGGACAAUUACAUGUUCUAUGACCAGUAUUUAGGUCCAGAAGACAGGCAUGUAUGCGGAAACAGGACGACAAAGGGUACAUUGUUCCAACAGAAUGCUAGGCGAGCCGUGCAGCAAGCAGUUGCAAAUGCACCGAGUAAUGAUGGUUAUGCACGUGCCGAAGUGUCAGUACCCAGUCCUUCCAACGAGACAGCUUAUGUUCUCGCUGAUUGUUGGAAGACACUAAGCGCGAAUUCCUGUGCAGCGUGUUUGCAAAAUGCAUCUGCAUCUAUGUUGGGAUGCUUACCUUGGUCAGAAGGUAGAGCCCUUUACACUGGAUGCUUCAUGAGGUAUUCUGAUACAAAUUUUCUCAAUGAUACUUCUACCAGUGGAGGCUCGUCAUCAAGGGGUACGUUUUGCUCUUUUUUCGUCCUGGUUUACCGGUUAUUUAUGAACUAAUUUUUACUUUCAAAUCACCAUAAUGCAGGAAAAGUUGUAGUCAUUGUCAUAGUUGUUGUAAUUAGUUCCGUUGUCGUUUUGGGAGCAGCUGCUUUCGUUGGUUUUGGUGUUUGGGAGAACAAACAAAUCCAGAAGAAGAGAAAAGGUAAAUGCUUUUGUGCCAAAAAUAUCAAUGAUGUACAUAUUGUUGAGUAUAUAUCUUGCGAUUUGCACUCAACUGUACCGAGACAACUUUCAAGAAUUAACUUGAGGCGUUGUGGCCUACUCAUGUUUUUCCUCGGAAAUUUGAACUUGUUAGGUGCAAAUGAUGUUGAGAAAUUGGUGAAGAUCCUUCAUCAAAACAGCUUAAACUUCAAGUAUUCGACACUUGACUAUCCUUGAAAAAAUUGCCAACACGCGCUAGUCCCACAAGAUAGUGCCACGUAGGCCAAAAAGGGGUUGAAAAUUAUAUAUAAAAUAAGUUCAGGGGGGUAAUAGGACCUUAGUAAAGGUUAGGUGUGUCUCUGGGAUUUCGGGCAUAGGCUGGGAGGUACUUAUGCAUUUUCCCUUAAAAGAAUGAACUAAUAACUUAAAUGUUAAAUUAUUAUAAUACCCCCAACUUAAAACACCAAAUGUAGUAUAUCUUCUAUAUUUUAUAUUGUAUUAUAUUUAUUUAUGUGUAUUAUAUUAUAUAUUAUAUUAAAGUUAGACAACUUUUCACAUUGAAGGGUUGUGAUAUUUUCGAAGAGUUAUAAAUUUUCCGAUGAGUUGUGACUUUUUUGAAGGGUUGUGACUUUUCUAUAGGGUUGCGACUUUUCCGAAGAGUUGUGACUUUUCUGAAGGGUUGCGACUCCGAAGAGUUGUAACAUUUCCGAAGGGUUGCGACUUUUCCGAAGAUUUAUGACUUUUCCGAUGAAUUUUGACUUUUCUGAAGGGUUGUGACUUUUCUAAAGGUUUGUGACUUCUUUUUGAUAAGGCACCACGAGCAAUUUUUCAUACACUACCCUCUGUUGGCCAUAAAAAAAAAGGGGCUUCAUCACUUCUAUAUUUUUAUGAUAAGAAACAAUAUGCACAUACUAAUACCACACAUGUUUAACUAUAAAUGGACAGGUUUCCUCACAUUUUUAAACUACGGUUUUUUAUGUUUUCUAUUCUUCUCUUCUUAAAACCUCAAGUUUGAUUUAUAAACGUUGACAAUCUCAAAGUUCAGUGAAACUAGAACACUCCAUAACAUGAAUGUUAAAUUAAUCUAAUACUCCAGCUAAAACAUCCAAUUUAGUAUAUCUUCUAUAUUUGAUAUCAAUAUUUAUUUAUAUUUUAUUAUAUUAAAAGUAAGAACACCUACAAAACAAUAAUAACAAAGUAAUGCACUAUGGGGAAGGGAGUAGAAAGUUUAUUUAAGAUGUGUAACUAAGAGGUUUUAAGAGUGACUAAUUUUUUAUUUAGCAAUAUUCAUAUUAUUUUUUUAAAAUAGUGUGGUACAUGGUUUGAUUUUCACAUGCAACGCACGUGUGUCAAAACUAGUAAUUAUAAUGAUAGAGGAGGUAGGUGUAGUAUCAGCUGCUAGUAGUGAUUAGCAACGAUGAUGAUUGUGAUUGUAGAGGUGGUUAGUGAUGGUGGUUGGUGAUUGUGGAUAUAUAGAAUGAAAAGUAUCUCGUUUGAUCCGUUUCUCAAAAAGCUUUGUAACAAUUUUCUAAAAAGAUUUGCAAUCAAGCAAGCAAUUUGUAAAUAAAUUUAAAAAGUCUUACAACAACUUCCUAAAAUGCCUUACUCUUUUUUUCCUUCAUAAAUAGAAAGUUACAUCAAUUUCUAGUAAGGACGCAUGAGAAGCCUUUAUAGUACCACAAAUUUUAUAUCUAUUUUAAGACAAACUUCAAAAAAAUUGCAUCCACACAAAGAAUUAUCACAUGUCAAAGAUCACAAAAAUAUAUAUUUUCUUGUUAAUUUUAUAUCAAAUCAAAUUUGUCACAUAAAUUAGAACUGAAGAAUAUAUUUUCUGUUCUCCUUUUUUCUUCUCCUUUGGCAGUGAAAAUACAGUAGAAAAAGACCCUUGUCGACUCGUCUUUAUUUUGAAAUUUCAAACAAAUAAUCCUUCCAACAAAUUUUUCAACAAAUUUUCCUCAGGUUCACACUUCACACACACACAAAAAAAAAAAAAUGGUAGAAUAAUAAAUAUUUUUUAUUUUUAAUUAGAAAUUUUGAAUUCGAACUCUUUCUUAGAAAAUAUUUUUUUCCCCAAUAUAAUUUUCUUCAGCAUGAGUUUAAAGUUAGUCCACUCCAAUAUAGAUAUCGGACUGAAUUACUUUCUUUCCGCGAUAUAAUUUUUUUUUCAACAUGGUUCAAAUUUAGGUCACUCCAAUAUAAAUAUCGGACGUCAACUCGGAAAACCAACAAAAGUUGGAAGUAGAAAAGUCUUCCCUCACAAAACAACCCAUUAAUCAAAUAUGAAAUUGCCCUUCAUUUUUCCUAUUUUCUCUCUGUUUCUACAACUUUGACAGCAGCUGAUCAGUUUGCACCGCCGAUCUCUUUUCUCGACUCAAAUCCGGCGAGUUCAGAGCUCAUAAAAACUUAGUGAGUAUUCUUUUCUUCUUUCUAUUUUCACUGAGAUUCGAUGGUUGUGGGGGCGGUAAGUAAUGAUUCGUCCUUAAUAAGAGGUAUCGAGUUCGAGCUUUAGAAAUGAAGUUCUCAGUGAGCUCUUUAAUUAUGUGAAAUGAAUAAAAAUGUCGUCCCCUAAUAAUUUGAUCCAAAAAUACUCUUAUGGUUACUUAAUGAGUUAAAAAUGUGCUUGCUUUUAUUUUGCAUUACAAUUAUCUAUCAUUCACUUAAUAAAAUAGCCUGUGGGGCUUGAUUUAAAAAAAAAAAAGAGUCCCUUUUCAAAUAAUUUUUUUUUCUUUUUAAAUACAUUUUUUCGUAAUGAUGAGUUUUUAAUUAGAAAACAUUCAUCCUACUUAAUUUGAAAAAAAAUUAAGAAUAAAAUAUUUUCUAUUUUACUAGAUUUUUUUUUAUGGUUAUCUCAAUAAAAGUGAUGACAAGGUUACUAUGAGAGAAUACAAUAAUUAUUAUGAAGGAAUACUGAUAAAAAGAUUACUUUUAAAGAAGACUAGAUUAUAGGUUUAGCAAACAUAAAAAUCAUAUUAGCACUUUAUAGCUAUAAUUUUGUUAAUUGCAUUGCUAUGGAGCAUCAGAUUUGUAUAAACUCGCAGGCAGCAUCUGAUUGUAUAAAAUCGCAGGCAUCUGAUUUGUAUAAAUCACAACGAUUUGUAUAAAUCGGGUGUCUGUGUCGAUGAAAACUGUGUUUGUAUAUGUAUAUGUUCUUUGUGUUUGUAUAUCUACAUAAAAUUUGAAUUUGUAUACAAUUGAAUCGAGUUAAAACAAUUGUAUUUGUAUAUCAAACCUCUCUCUCGCUUUAUACAAACACAAACCAUAUGUUGUAUUUUGUAUAAUUUGUGUUUGUAUAAAGUGAGAAAGAGAGAAAGACAAAAGAGAAUUGGACAUGAGAAGAUUUGUAUUUGUACAAUUAUAAUUGUUUAAGACGAAAAGAUAUGUAUUUGUAUAUACAGUUCACUCUCGCUUUAUACAAACACAAACACAAUUUAUACAUUUAUAUUUAUAUAAAGUGAGAGAGGCGAUGGAGAGUGGCAAGCGAAAUUCAGGAGAGUGGCGAGCGAGAUUCAGGGGAGAGAGGCGAAUGACAAAGUAUUUGCUACGAAUUAGAAUUAAAUGAAACUGUGGUUAUAACAUUUAUUUUGAAUUAAUAAUUUGCUAUUUCAUACAAUUUUCUCUUUAAAGAAACUUUAUUCUUAUUUUUCUUCUUUUAAAAUCACUUUAACUAAUAAAUAAGUAGGAAAUAAUAUUUUUCUUUUCUUAAUCUCAUUUUAACAAUUAAAAUAGAAUAACUACAUGUAUCAUUUUAAUUGAUAAUAUGGGUCAUAUAUAUAAGAUCAUAAUAAGUGGGUCACUAAUUUUCAUAAGCUAACUAUAAAAAAUUUCUACUAAAAUAAAAAAAUAUAUUUUUAGUUCUUAAUUUUUUUUAUAAAUUGAAGUAGAAUAAACAUUUUCUUAUUAAAAAGAUCAUCGUUAGGAAAAGAAUGUGUUUAAAAAAAAAAAAACUAAAAUAUUUAUUUGGAAAAGAGCAUUUUUGACUCAUUAAGUAACAAUAAGGACAUUUUGGGACCAAACUAUCAGGUGAGGAUAUUUUUGUUCAUUUACAUAGUUUAAGGGCAUUUUUUAUCCUUUUCUAUACAUAAAAUAAAAUUCUAUCCCUAUAUAUAUAUAGUGUAAUUUCUCGACAAAAAGGGGUCGAUACCCUAGCUCCGUCUGUUACCACUAAGGAUGUAGGGGAAUUCCUUAGUAUUGGUCUCAAGUCCUGCGAAAGCUCUCGUAGAAAGCACUUCCCUUUCAGGGAUGUCAGGAUCUGAAGUUAAUUAUGAAUUUUGAACUUUCCACAAAAUUCAUAGCUCGUUUUAAUUAUUGGAUUUCCUCCACCUUCAGUUAGAGAUUUCAAAUUCAAGUUCUGAAAAUGAAGAAGGCCCAGAUAGAGACGCUUUCCUUCAAAGACGAAAUCAGUAUUUGAAGUUUAUGGAUUCUACGACUAACGUGUAAAUUAAGUUGAUAAAAAAAAAAUCUAUUAGCAAUUAUCACUUUUGACUUUCUGCAACAUGCAUGUUAUAAUUGCCUAAAUGCAAUUCCUUGGACCAUCAGAAUGGAAUAAUAUUUAGAGCCCAUUUGGAUUGAUAUAAAAAGAGCAAUUUUCACAUAUAACAAACAUAAAAAUCAUAAAAAUAAGUUGUUUUUAAGUCAAAAAAAUAAAAAGUCAAAUAAUAAAAAGUAGGGGAAGACCUACUUUUGAUUUUUAACCUUUUUAAAGUCAUUUAAAACUUAUUUUAAGUUAUUUUUAACAUUAUCAAACACUUUCAAAAACUAAAAAUUACUUAAAAUAGGUUUGACCAACUUUUAAUUCAAUCCAAACAGGCUCUUACUUCCUAUUUUUCAUAAUUUAUGUAUUUUAAUUUUUAUUUAGCAUAAAAUUUAAUAAUGCAAGAUUAUUUCUUACAAAAUAUAGUAAUCAUAAAUUAAAGAUUUGUAUAAUGUGCUAAAAUAUCUCUUGAACUGGUGGUUUAGGGGGAAAGACUGAUAGUUAAUUAAUUUCAGGGAUCCUUAACAGUGUCAGUUGAUAGUGGUAGUUGGUGGUGGCUUCUGAUAAUUGUGGUUGAUGUAAUAAUAGCUAAUGAUGGUGGUGACUGACACCGGUGAUUGGCGAUAUAUAGCAGUGAUUGAUGGUGGUGAUUUUUUGUAGUGACUAGUGUCUAUUAUGGAUGGUUGGUAGUGCUUGAUGGUUAUUGUGACAAAAUUGGUAGUGAUGAUUGUAACUAGGGGCUAGUGGAGGUUCAUCUGAACCCCUUCGGCAGAAAAUUAUAUUAUUUAUACAUGGUUAAAAUAAUUUUUUAUGUAUAUAUAGUAGAUCUCGAACCUCCUUCAGCUACUUCGUGUGUCUAUUUCUACAGACUUUGAAUUUCCUUAUUGAAAAUCCUGGCUCCGCCACUGAGUUGAGGGUGUCGACCGAAUAGUGAUGAUUUGUGGCUAGGUGGUUGUGGUUGAGGGUGGUGGAUGAUGGGUGAGGUAAUUAAUAACGGUGGGUAGCGGCGAUUAGCGGUGAAAUUGGAUGGAGUAGUAGUGAAAUAUCAUCUUUAUGAGCAUUUAGUCAUUUGAUCUUACUUAUUUUUGUCAUUUUAAUGUUACAUCAAUUAGUCCUCUCACAUUGUUUUCUCUGUUGUACAGUUCAUUUGGCAAAAUGGAGAUACCAGCCCCUUCAAUUUUAUGUACUCUCUUUGUUAUUAUGUUGAUCCUACUUCUACUAGAUACAUCAGUGUGUGAACCAAGAGCGCAGACCGUCCAGAUCAUAUGUUGUACUCAUGAACUCGAGCAUAAUACGACGAUCUAUGUCCGAAACUUUGUUGCAGUUAUGGAAACUAUAAGCCGACAACUGAGAAAUACAGGAUAUGGAGUUACAGUUUCUGGCACUGGACCAUAUACUAGCUAUGGACUUGCCCAAUGCUAUGGUGAUCUUUCUUUACUCGACUGCAUGUUAUGCUAUGCUAAAGCGCGAACGACUCUGCCCUCGUGCUUGCCUUAUAACGUAGGGCGAAUUUAUCUUGAUGGAUGCUUUAUACGAGCGGAGAAUUACACGUUCUAUGAUCAGUAUUUAGGUCCAGAGGACAGACAUGUAUGUGGAAACAGGACGACAAAGGGUACAUUGUUCCAACAGAACGCUAGGCAAGCCGUUCAGCAAGCAGUUGUAGAUGCACCGACUAAUAAUGGCUAUGCACGUGCUCAAGUGUCAGUGCCAGGUCCUUCCAAUGAGACAGCUUAUGUUCUCGCUGAUUGCUGGAAGACGCUGAACAUAAAAUCCUGCGCAGCAUGUUUGCAAAAUGCAUCUGCAUCCAUGUUGGGAUGCUUACCUUGGUCAGAAGGUAGAGCCCUUUACACCGGAUGCUUCAUGAGGUAUUCUGAUACAAAUUUUCUCAAUGCUAUUUCUACCAGUGGGGGCUCGUCAUCAAGGGGUACUUUUUUUCGCCCUGGUUUGCCUGUUAUUUAUCGACUGAACAUAUGAUUUUGCUGAUAAAUGAU
rnacentral:lncRNA from 1 species